rnacentral:rRNA from 1 species
AUUGAACGCUGGCGGCAGGCCUAACACAUCCAAGUCGAGCGGAUGAGUGGAGCUUGCUCCAUGAUUCAGCGGCGGACGGGUGAGUAAUGCCUAGGAAUCUGCCUGGUAGUGGGGGACAACGUUUCGAAAGGAGCGCUAAUACCGCAUACGUCCUACGGGAGAAAGAAGGGGACCUUCGGGCCUUGCGCUAUCAGAUGAGCCUAGGUCGGAUUAGCUAGUAGGUGAGGUAAUGGCUCACCUAGGCGACGAUCCGUAACUGGUCUGAGAGGAUGAUCAGUCACACUGGAACUGAGACACGGUCCAGACUCCUACGGGAGGCAGCAGUGGGGAAUAUUGGACAAUGGGCGAAAGCCUGAUCCAGCCAUGCCGCGUGUGUGAAGAAGGUCUUCGGAUUGUAAAGCACUUUAAGUUGGGAGGAAGGGCAGUAAGUUAAUACCUUGCUGUUUUGACGUUACCAACAGAAUAAGCACCGGCUAACUUCGUGCCAGCAGCCGCGGUAACAC